rnacentral:rRNA from 1 species
AGUGAACGCUGGCGGUAGGCCUAACACAUGCAAGUCGAACGGCAGCACAGUAAGAGCUUGCUCUUAUGGGUGGCGAGUGGCGGACGGGUGAGGAAUACAUCGGAAUCUACUUUUUCGUGGGGGAUAACGUAGGGAAACUUACGCUAAUACCGCAUACGACCUACGGGUGAAAGCAGGGGAUCUUCGGACCUUGCGCGAUUGAAUGAGCCGAUGUCGGAUUAGCUAGUUGGCGGGGUAAAGGCCCACCAAGGCGACGAUCCGUAGCUGGUCUGAGAGGAUGAUCAGCCACACUGGAACUGAGACACGGUCCAGACUCCUACGGGAGGCAGCAGUGGGGAAUAUUGGACAAUGGGCGCAAGCCUGAUCCAGCCAUACCGCGUGGGUGAAGAAGGCCUUCGGGUUGUAAAGCCCUUUUGUUGGGAAAGAAAAGCAGCAGGUUAAUACCCCGCUGUUCUGACGGUACCCAAAGAAUAAGCAUCGGCUAACUUCGUG